UACAGAGGUCAUCAAGCGUUGUUCGGAUUCAGUUGGGCGUAAAGGGUGCGUAGGCUGUGGGGUAAGUCUGGUGUGAAAUCCCGGAGCUCAACGUCCGGAACUAGCACUUGGAUACUGCUUACUAGAGCACUGGAGAGGGAACUGGAAUUUACGGUGUAAGCAGUGAAAUGCGUAGAGAUCGUAAGGAAGAACCAGUGGCGAAGGCGAGUUCCUGGACAGUUGCUGACGCUGAGGCACGAAGGCUAGGGGAGCAAACGGG
rnacentral:rRNA from 1 species